UAAAUAAUAUUAAAUUUAUAUGCUGUAAACAAUAAAUGGUUGUCAUCAAACAUGUACAUCAAUCCUUAAAUCUGCACAGGAUGAUACAUCAUUCUGAUCUACAAAUAAAUCAAUCAAUAGAUUAAAUUCCAAAGAUAAUAAUUUCAUUUACCUUAAUUUUAUUGAUUAACAUGUGAAGAUUCCAGGGGAAGAACGAUCUAAGUCACAUUUUUAUCUUUUUGUCCCCCGCCUUUCGAAGAAAGCAGGGGACUUAAAAUGGAUUCGUCCAUCUGUUUGUCUGUCCGUCACACUUUUUGGGACACAAUAACUCUCUUUCUAAUUGAGCUACAAUGUUCAAACUUGGUGUAGGUGUUUAUUAGGUCAAUGCCUUGAUGGAGUUUGAAGAUGAGCAUUUUUGGCUUAAGGUAAGCAGAGAUAAGCAAUUUGAUUGGUUGAUGCUUUGGGACACUAUAACUUUAGUUCUAAUUAUGAGAGAGUGAUGAAACUUGGUGUAUAGUUCCAUUACAUCAAUACCUUGACCAAGUUCGAUAAUGAGCAUUUUCUGCUCAGGAAUCUUCAUACUUGGUGUAGGUGUUUAUUAGGUCAAUGCCUUGAUGGAGUUCAAAGAAGAGCAUUUUCUGCUUAGGGUGAGCAGAGAUAAGCAAUUUGAUUGGUUGAUGCUUUUGGAGACGAUAACUUUAGUUCUAAUUAAGUGAGAGAGAGAGAGAGAGAGAGAAAUGGGGUUUAACGUCCACUCGACACAAACUAGGUCAUUUCGGGACUAACAUAUGGUUUAAUUUUAUUUACAUAAUUCGCUUGCGCGUAGGGGUCUUUAGCAGUGGGAGGAAACCGGAGGACCCGGAGAAAACCCACGAGGUUGGACAGGCGACCCUACUCCUUGCCACGUACAACCGGGGAUUCGAAACCACGCCAGUCGACUCAAUGACAGACUGUAUGAUACAGCGCGCACACGCUAACCAUUCAGCCAUCCAACCCCCCUAAUUAAGUGAGAGUGAUGAAACUUGGUGUAUAGUUUCAUUACAUCAAUACCUUGACUAAGUUUGAUAAUGAGCAUUUUCUGCUCGGGUAAGCAGAGCGAUAAGCAAUUUCAUUGGUCAAGACUUUGGAACACAAUAACUCUCCUAAUUGAGGUGGAAUGGUUAAACUUGGUGUAGGCAUUCAUUAGGUGAAUGCCUUGGUGGAGUUUAUGAUGAAGAUUGUUUGCUUACGUUAAGCAGAAAUAAGCUUUGAGGCAUGAUAACUUUGGUUAUAAUGAAGUGAGAUGGAACUCCGAAUAUAGAUUCAUUAUAUCAUUACCUUGACUAAUUUCGAUGGUGAGAAUUUUCUGCUUAGGCUAAUGAGCGAUAAGCCAUUUGAUUGGUCAAGACUUUGGAAAAUAACAACUCUGCUUUUAAUUGAGGUAGAAUGUUUGGACUUGAUGUAGAUGUUCAUUAGGUGAAUGUCUUGACUGAGUUCAAUAAUUAACAUUUCGAGCUGAAGCUAAGCAAAGCUAAUCAAUUUAAUUGGUCAAUGCUUUGGGACAAGAUAAUCUAGUGAUAGAGAUUGAUGAAACUUAGUGUUUGGUUGUUUGAUACUUUUGAAAAAAAAAAAUGUGCGAUUAAUUAAUGUGUGUCAUCUAUUUAUUUUGGGAUUGAGCGGGGGACAUCAGCCUCACUGUUGGCUUGUUGCAUAAAAGGAAAACAAGACUUUUGGACAAGAAUGCUUGACGCGAACAGAACAACGAUUGGGUUUAAUUACAACAUCAAAAUGAUGUUCAAUACGAAUCAUAAUUACCAGUACAACAACUGACUUCCACUUUUCAGCCAAAUUAAGGUCAAAUAAAUACGAUAGACUUGUAUUUGUCCGGGAGGUCAUUUCAGUAGGGCAUUGGUUCGAUGCGACUCUGGUCGUUUUUACCUGAAAUUGAUUGUUCCACAGAAAGCUUAUACAAUUUGCCAACGGAUGACCCUAUUAACUGGGGUUUGUUGAAAAAUUGACUUAGAUCGUUCUUUAUGUAUUAUAACUGAGUACUAUAAGGACAUGAUAAUGUGCCAGUGAAUUCUAGUUGUGUAUUAAAUGUAACAAUUAAACAUACAUUAUGCAAGAGCUAAAUCAGGUUAUUGCAGGUCUUUCUUUAGGCCUGAAAUGUUAUAUAAACUAUUAAUUAGACAUUAAUCAACUCUCGAUGCCAUCUUAGGUGUCGUAUUGUCACUGGAUUUGAAUCCGAUCUGCUGCUCAAUGCCCAUUGAUGAUUAAAUCAAAAAAUGAAUAAUCAAGACUGUUUUUUAUCGUACCUACUUCAGUAAUGAUGACCGAGACUAGGUCAAAAAAUCAAUUGCUAAUAUCUUGGUUCGGAGUGGAGCAAUUUGACUUAAAUUUUCAGCAUAUUCCCUUUACAUUAUCUAGUUUUUAACUAUUAUAGUUAGAACUGCCAGCUCUAUAUCUGAUCUUCCAUAAUGUAUCUUUAAUGUAACAUUAUAAUUGUAAUAGAUGGUGUUAAAUUGUUCAGAUUACUGUUUCAACUAAAUCCAUGUACUUGUAUGUCUUAACUUUUAUAUAAGAAUAAGAAAACAACUUCAAGUAUGUUAACUAAUAGCCAGUACAGGGGCGGAUCCAGGGGGGGGGGGGGGGGGGUCCAAACCCCACCCUGCUCAGGUACAUAAAAAAAAUUGAAUGCCUUGCAUCAAUGAAAUUAAAUCACAAUGUGUUACUACAUCAUUACAAAAAUGAUUUCUCUCCUUAAAAAACUCAAUGUGUAUGUAUGCCUAUGUAAUUUAGAGACGAUGACAGAUUUCCUUAACAGGAACCUGGCAAACCCCCUCCUGCAUAAAUUCCUGGAUCCGCCCCUGCAGUACAUACAAAAACAAUGAUAUAUCCAUUAAAAAACAGGACAGAUUGAAUGCAACAAAUAAUUGUGCAUAUUCUGUAAAAACUAAAUAUUUAUGUCAUGGUUUUAUUUUGUAUAUAUCAGGUAAUAAAGAAUUUGUUUUUA